GUCUUCGCUUGGGCAGCACAUAGACUAAAAUUGGAGCGACACGGAGAAGAUUAGCGCGGCCCCUGGGCAAGGAUGACUUAAAACUUCGUGAUGGUUUCCGCAUUUUU
ensembl:snRNA U6 U6 spliceosomal RNA